GACGAACGCUGGCGGCGUGCUUAACACAUGCAAGUCGAACGGAAAGGCCCUGCUUUUGUGGGGUGCUCGAGUGGCGAACGGGUGAGUAACACGUGUGUAACCUGCCCUUGACUUUGGGAUAACUUCAGGAAACUGGGGCUAAUACCGGAUAGGAGCUCCUGCUGCAUGGUGGGGGUUGGAAAGUUUCGGCGGUUGGGGAUGGACUCGCGGCUUAUCAGCUUGUUGGUGGGGUAGUGGCUUACCAAGGCUUUGACGGGUAGCCGGCCUGAGAGGGUGUCCGGCCACAUUGGGACUGAGAUACGGCCCAGACUCCUACGGGAGGCAGCAGUGGGGAAUAUUGCACAAUGGGCGGAAGCCUGAUGCAGCAACGCCGCGUGCGGGAUGACGGCCUUCGGGUUGUAAACCGCUUUCGCCUGUGACGAAGCGUGAGUGACGGUAAUGGGUAAAGAAGCACCGGCUAACUACGUG
rnacentral:rRNA from 1 species